AUUGAACGCUGGCGGCAGGCCUAACACAUGCAAGUCGAACGGUAACAGGAAACUGCUUGCUGUUUCGCUGACGAGUGGCGGACGGGUGAGUAAUGUCUGGGAAACGGCCUGAUGGAGGGGGCUAACUACUGGAAACGGUAGCUAAUACCGCAUAACGUCGCAAAACCAAAGAGGGGGACCUUCGGGCCUCUUGCCAUCGCCUGUGCCCAGAUGGGAUUAGCUAGUAGGUGGGGUAACGGCUCACCUAGGCGACGAUCCCUAGCUGGUCUGCGAGGAUGACCAGCCACACUGGAACUGAGACACGGUCCAGACUCCUACGGGAGGCAGCAGUGGGGAAUAUUGCACAAUGGGCGCAAGCCUGAUGCAGCCAUGCCGCGUGUAUGAAGAAGGCCUUCGGGUUGUAAAGUACUUUCAGCGGGGAGGAAGGGAGUAAAGUUAAUACCUUGGCGCAUUGACGUUACCCGCAGAAGAAGCACCGGCUAACUACGUG
rnacentral:rRNA from 1 species